ACACAGAAACAUUUACCAGAUACGCGCGCUCCGCUACCCAUUUGUUGACACCAGGAGGAUAUAAAAUAAAUGUUCCGGUUCAUCGUAAAGCUACAUUUAUGCAAAUUAUCUAAUGCGCAGCGUUCAGUCUAUCCGCUCACCUGUAUAAAUACACCUGCAGCUCUUCCCCGCUGUUCGCUCUGAACCGCCACCAGGCAGCAGAAAAGCUGCUGUCAUUUUAGUCAUACAUGUUGCUGGAGAAGCGUGCGGUACCUACCGUGGCCACCAGGGGGCCCCAAGAGCAAUUUAUAAAAUUUGUUUUUUUUAUCAAUAAAAUUAUGAUUUCUACAUCAUUAUCAAAUAUAUAUUAUUGUUAAAACAAAUCAUUCAUAGUGAAAUUGUGUGCGUUUGAUAUUUUAAAGACAGAGAAAUUGUUACUAUAAGAAAAAAGAAUCCUCCCCUACGUGGCCUUGGGGCCCUAAGCGGUUGCUUAAUUUGCUUAUACCUUGGUCCGGCCCUGAAUGUAGGUAUUAUUAAUUUAGUGCUAUGAUCCACAGCAAAUGGAAAAACCGAAGCACAACUCUCAAUCACUUCUUUCUCACUCUGUGUUUUGGUCAAGCUACUCAGGUCUACUACUAGUUCUUGACGUCGGGGUGAACACCCUCACUUUUCCUGACUCCCUUUCCAAUAAAGGUCUGAGAGCAGCUAGUCCCUUUUUCUGCUUCACUCUGCUGACUGGAACCUUAUCCAAACUCCAGCUGCCUCACUGCCAGCUGCUCCCAGGUCAGUAAAGCUCACCUGGACAGGAUUUUUUCCCGCUAUAUUGCAAUUUGUGUUUUCCAAGGUGAAACAGGGUAGAAUGUAAAACUGUCCCUGAUUUUUUUGUGUCUCUGGUAUGUUAGGAAACAUUUUCUCUCACAUCUUGGUGAAAAACUCGAUUGAUCUUGUUGUGAGACCUGUCUGAUCUGAGUUUUUUCCACUAGCACCUCUACAGCUCAGCUGAACUCCACGGUUCAGGUGGUUUUCCACCAUAGUUGCGCAUCAGCCAUGGUGCGCAACUAUGGGGUAGUGGCUGGGUCCAACAUGUAGUGUGGCACCCAAAGUCUGGAAAAUAGUGAGAUGUGAUAUUAACUCAACACAAAAACAAAGGAAUCUGUGAUAAACUUUCUGCUCAGUAUGUGGCUUUUGGUAUAAUGCAAAAGAAAAGACCCAGGAAAGUCCUCAGGCAGCGAGAUACAGGAGAAUAUGAGCCACUUUAGUGAUACAAGCAGUGAAUUUAAUUUCUGGUCAGUCGUUGCGUUUUCUGCUUCAUUCUGCAUGCUUGUGUAACAUAGUUAAAAUGGUUCAGAUUAAAUCCUGCUAAAAUGCACCAUCUGCUGGUGUAACGGAGUAUUACAUUCACCCUAGAAAGAGCAGGGUAUUAUGGGUAAUCCUCAGAGCCACGAGGAUCACUGUCGAGGUAACGUGUCUCUGCAAUGUGAUAAAGAAAUAUUAUAUAUAAAAUAUGUUUAUGUUUUUUUUUUUUUUGCAUAUUAUUGAAAUAUGUUUUAUGUAGGUCACACUGUUUUGCUCUUAUAUUGUUUUUGUUGCGUUUUAGAAAUGUUUAGUUCGUGAGAAAGUGUGGCGGGAAUUUCCCACAUAUUAACAUUAUGGCUGCUCCUUGCAGGAGCCUGUUUUAUGCUAGAGACUGACUUACCUCGAUGUCCAUGUGUGAAAUACAGGUAUGUUUUACUAAAUCUUGUAGCAGAUGGUUAAUAUAAGGCUGAGUUUUAUUUUAACAGUUUUAUAUGAAGAUAGGUUCAUUUGUGUUUUUGGUUUUUCAAGAUACAAGUUUAUAUAAACUAAAAUAUAAAAAUGGCAUACAGUAAAUAAAAUGUCAGCAUUUUAUUUUAUUUAUCAGAGCAUUUUAGUUAAUUGCUUUACUUUCUUUAAAAAAUGACACUCGCUGGUUGUUCCUUUAGUGUAAACUAAAUCCACUAUGCGAUCACUGUAAUUUUAAAUGAUUUUAUUUUAAUUACUGUAUUAUGGGUAAACCUCCGAGCCACGAGGAUCACUGUUGAGGAGUGUGUUUUAUGCUAGAGACUGACUUUACCUCGAUGCCCAUGUGUGAAAUACAGAUGGAGAAUUAAAGGAAACAACUGAUGCCAGCUUGAGCUCCUGUCAUUCAUUGUCACACUGAGAGAAGCCACCAGAUCCACAGAGGUCACACUUGGAACCCAAGAGAAAGAAAGGUAAAAACUCACUGUUUGUGGCUCAUGACACUGGGGACUACAUGGACUUCAUCACACCUGGCCAGCCCUAUAACUUCUCCGCCUUCGUGGUGCUGCUGCCUGCCUCUCUCAGUGGCAUGGAAGUGGCAUCUGCGGACAUCCACCAUCAAUCCUCUGGUCUCAUGUAUGAAACGUGUGCGUUUUCAUGAGGUAAGUGUGCAGUUUCAUGUCUUAUAUUUGUGUUUGUGUUGGUUGUUGGCCCGGGAGGUGAGGACGUCCUCGUGUUUCUCUGGCUGCCAACAAUGCAGGUGUAACCCAGGAUUUAAAAAACACAAGUAAAACACAAUAUAUGUUGAUUUAAUGUCUUCUUCUACAAUAAGAGUUAAAAAGUAUCCAUCGAUCUUCUUCCGCUUAUCCGGGGUCGGGUCAUGGGGUAGCAGCUUCAGAAGGGAGGCCCAGACUUCCCUCUCCAGUCUCUUCUUCCAGCUCCUCCGGAGGAAUCCCAAGGCGUUCCCAGGCCAGCAGAGAGACAUUGUCCCUCCAGCGUGUCCUGGGUCUUCCCCGGGGUCUCCUCCCGGUGGGACAUGCCCGGAACACCUCACCAGGGAGGCGUCCAGGAGGCAUCCUGACCAGAUGCCCGAGCCACCUCAACUGGCCCCUCUCGACGUGGAGGAGCAGCGGCUCUACUCUGAGUCCCUCCCAGAUGACUGAGCUUCUCUCUCUAAGGGAGAGCCCAGACACUCUGCGGAGAAAACCCAUUUCGGUGCGGUGGUCCCCAACCUUUUUAUUACCACGGACCGGUCAAGACUUGGCAAUUUUGCUGCGGCCCAGAGGGAGGAGGAGGGAGACCGUCAGAUAAUGCUUCUGCAUUUUGCCGUUCCAACUAAAGCCCUUUUUAUGCCCUGAUUUUUACUUUACGAUAAUCUUACAAUGUCUUGCAGUGUGAGGUGUGUUACUUGGUGGUGUUUUUGAAUAUGUCCAAUCUGUGGCUCUUUGGUAGAGUAGUCUUCUUGCAUUUGGAAGGUUGUAGGUUCGAUUCCAGUUUCCUCCUGCCACAUGUUGAUGUUCCUCUGGGCAAAGCACUUAAUCCCAAACUGCCUACCGUAUCGGUGUAUACAUAGAACGGACAUAUUUAAUUAUUUCUUGCGUGGCCUAGUACCAAUUGGUCCACGUGGACUGGUACCGUGGGCCCAUGGUGGCACAACUGGCGUAAAGUUGUGCUGUAGCUUUAAAAAAAAAUUCAGGUUUGAGUGUCUGAGUCCUUCCUGCUAAGUCAGAGUUAGCUUUCCGAUAGCGUUGAAUUCACUCCAUGAGAGACUGGCAUGUUCGACUAAUGAUUCCAAAUUGGUGCCUCAGUUAAACUUAAAGAAAUCAUCUCAUUAGUAAUUUUGUUGACAUUAAAUUAUUGAUCCUAAUUAUUAAUAAUCACACAAGCCAAAAAUUGGUGCGAUGCCUGAUUCCUAACAAUAGUUUGUUCUGCAGGUUAUUUGACCAAUUGACUAGACUAGAAAACUUAAUGUCUCAGUAAAACCUGCAACGUUUAUGGUGGCAGUCUUCUCCUGAUGUUUGGGAACAUCUGCCAGGUAAUCAGGAUAAGUCAGCCAGGUAGGCAAAUCAGUGGAAGAUAAAAGCCACCAAAAUCAAAUGUAGAUUUUAUUGAAACUAAAAGAUAGAACAAUAAAAAUCUGACCUGUAGUAACAAAUGUUUGCAUAUUUAAACAUUUAUCAACCAAAUCUAAAAAGAAUUUCAAUGCCGAGUUCUUCAGGGCCGAUGCCUCGACUCUUCCAGUUCAUUCUGCCUGAAAUGGUUGGUUCUCAUUUACACAAAGGUUCCUACAACAACAGCUUCACACCAGGUCUGAAAAAAGAAAAAAUAUUCAUAAAAUCCUAAAUUCAACGCAAUGGGUAUGUCAACAGGUGGGGUGGACCACCAGAGGGCGCCACUGAGGAAUGUCAUGAUGGAGGCUGCGUUCACGUUUGUUCUGGUUUUAAAAAUAAAAUCUGUUGUCUCUCAGUCCGAAUGUCUGUCCACAGGAAGUCAAGCAAAGGCAUCACCUCCGCUGAUUGGACAGCCUGCUGCGGAGGGGCGGGACUUUGGAUAGCACCCUGUGAGGGGGGGCUGUCAUGGUCAUCACACUCUUCCUGUUUGGAGAUAGACUUGUUGCCAUGGUGAUGGCAGGUAAGGUGGGGGACGGGAUCCCUGUAGAAGUCACCAAAACUGGAGGUGGGCUGGUGGUUGCCAUAGAAACAGGCUUGGCUAGGGAGGUCUGGAUGUCCGCCCGGCGAGCCAACGCAGCCCUCAGCUUCUCCCGCAUCUGAUCAAUCUGCUGCUGCAGCGCCGCCAAUUCUGCAGGAAGGGGCGUGGCCACCACCGGAAGGGGCGUAGCCGUAUCGGGAACGGGCGGGGUUGCAUCAGGAAGGGGUUGGGAUAUUAUUGGAAUGGGAGGAGUAACACCAGGAAGGGGCGGGGCAUUGGUCCUCACAGAGGAAGAGGAGGGCAGUGAGAGCACCAGACUGGCCAAUGAAGCUGCCGGUCCCCCAUUCUCACAUAGCCGGCUGCUUGGCCCCGCCCCUGGUUUCAUGGGUCCCGCCCUGUCACCCUUAGCCCCGCCCCCCUUCGCCUCUGAGACCGCCAGGCGGGCCAGCAGGCGCCGUGUGUUCAGGGUCUCCAGACUGAAGUGAACUCGCUUGAAGUCUCGAGCAUCUGCAGCAGCUGGAGUUUCCUUCCUGGACUCGUCGUCCCACCUGGCAGCGGCAGUGGGUACUGAGGGUCCCGGGGGUACCCAGGGACUCGCGGGGCCCUGCC